rnacentral:lncRNA from 1 species
CAGCGGGGCCGGGCAGCUGGGUUCCCCCGACAGGAUGCCGGAGAAGCGGCUCUCGGCGGAGCCGCCAGAAGUUACAGAAGAAGAGUUUGUGAGUACACAGUGGCGAGAACGGGUCUUUUUUUUUACAUUCUCUUCGGGCUAAAGCUUUCUUCUGUAAAAGACCUCAUGUAGUUUCUCCGUACCCUUGCUGUCCCUAUGGGGGCAGGCCGGCUGUCUCCAUGGCUUUGUUGUGAUGUGCAGGGCAGCUCCUGGUUGCAGUAAACAUUAGUAGGUAAAGUUGCUCACCCCAGCAUUAGAGAUGGGAAAGAAGGGCUGGGAGUCGGGGUCAUCCUUUGUGACAUAGCAAAUUCAAGGCUAUGUGAGAUCCUGUCUUAAAAAAUACCAGCCCUCCCUCACCUCCACCCCCAUGGUAGCACUCAGGUCUUUAAACUCCAGCAGAGGCAGGAGGAUUUCUCUGAGUUUGAGGCCAGCCUGGUCUACAGAGCAAGUUCCAGGACCGCCAGGGCUAUACAGAAAAACCCUGUCUCAACAACAACAACACCACCCAGUCAAUCAAUAAAUAAUAAAAUAACAAAGCCAAAAAACCCAAAACUAAUCAACCAAACAACCAAAACAGACAAACACAAAAACAGCAACAGAAACCAGUCAUCUAUUUGUAAGUGUUUAAAUUGUUUUCUAGACAUUGUUCUCAGGUCAGAAUUUUGGAGAAAUUGAGCAUACUAAAUAUUUGCCAAAUCUAUUUAUCAUUUGGGAGAGUGCUGUCUUUAGAGACUCUUCUAGAAAGCAUAUUGCUUACACGAGGAGCUUGCCCCAGGGCACAGACAGACACAGAGGCAACCCUUUUUCCUACCACCGUUGAGGCUGGAGCUCAAAGCGCGUCCAGUAUUUACUAAUGUGAAUACUCUAGCACCCACUUCUCUUGUUGACUGAUUAUCCUAUUUACUUUUGGCUUUUCAUUCAACAAACAUGAGUGACUGUGUAUUCAAAGUAUUGUCCUAAAUACUGGGUCUAAGUCUCAAAAACGUUAACAGUCUAGCUGGGGCUAACAUAAGAGAGAAGGCUAAGUCAGCAGAUAGUAGGAGUAGUAGGAGGUGGGAGCAGGAGGAGGAGGGGUGGGGGAGAAAAGAGAAACUUCUAUGUACACUAACAUACAGGUACACACAGCACAUCAGAAAUGCUUCCAUAUAUUGGCCGAACCCCGUUUAACGGGAAAUUAAGUUAUUCCAUCACUCAGCCUCAGUGCUUCACGCAGGAGGGCAUCUGAGCCAGCUCCUCCUCUUCUGUGCCAUCCAGCCUGGGCGUCUUAUGAGUACUUAGCAUUUGAGUGAUUGUGCUCAACUUGUCCUCCUUCCCUGGGCACCCGCUGAGUUCCAGGCCUUGAUCCCAGUCUUCUUUUCCCUUCCCAGCUUCUCUCCCCACUCCUGUGAGGUAUUGAUCUUUGGGACUCUGCUCUCCAGAAGUUUGUGGGUGAGCUCUUCCUUCGCCCCUGUAGCUCUACCCUUCCCCAUCUCUUGAGAAUCCCAAGUCCAUAUGCCAUCCCCACAUCUGCUCUCGGUGUUGCUAGGACGUAACCUGUGCGGCCCGCAACUUGCUAUGUGUGCAACCCCGCAUCACUUCAGACUUUGUAUCUAGAUGCUUCAAUGCUGUGUGGAUUGCAGAUUCCUGUACCAUGUCUGUGUCCAGACAACACAUUUGAUGCUUCUACAUAAUCUGGUGAGCUAUCAGGUGUCCCUGUGUCACCUCUU